UACGGAGGAUGCGAGCGUUAUCCGGAUUUAUUGGGUUUAAAGGGUGCGUAGGCGGACUGUCAAGUCAGCGGUAAAAUUGAGAGGCUCAACCUCUUCCCGCCGUUGAAAUUGGUGGUCUUGAGUGGAUGAGAAGUACGCGGAAUGCGUGGUGUAGCGGUGAAAUGCAUAGAUAUCACGCAGAACUCCGAUUGCGAAGGCAGCGUACCGGCAUCCAACUGACGCUGAGGCACGAAAGCGUGGGGAUCAAACAGG
rnacentral:rRNA from 1 species